rnacentral:rRNA from 1 species
GUGGGGAAUCUUGCGCAAUGGGCGAAAGCCUGACGCAGCCAUGCAGCGUGAAUGAUGAAGGUCUUAGGAUUGUAAAAUUCUUUCACCGGGGACGAUAAUGACGGUACCCGGAGAAGAAGCCCCGGCUAACUUCGUGCCAGCAGCCGCGGUAAUACGAAGGGGGCUAGCGUUGCUCGGAAUUACUGGGCGUAAAGGGCGCGUAGGCGGACAGUUUAGUCAGAGGUGAAAGCCCAGGGCUCAACCUUGGAAUUGCCUUUGAUACUGGCUGUCUUGAGUACGGGAGAGGUGAGUGGAACUCCGAGUGUAGAGGUGAAAUUCGUAGAUAUUCGGAAGAACACCAGUGGCGAAGGCGACUCACUGGCCCGUUACUGACGCUGAGGCGCGAAAGCGUGGGGAGCAAACAGGAUUAGAAACCCUUGUAGUCC